GGGUUAGUUCCCGUUCUAAUGACAUAUGAGAAAAACUGCCUGUAGUUCAGGUUGAAUAAUCAAUCAAUAUACAAGUACUGCUGAGUGCAAAUUACAACCCAAAGCCCUUGCAGCCUCAGAUAGAAAGAAUCAAUUGAUCAGUUUACAAACAACACAGAAAGGAAAGAAUUCAUCAAUCAAAUGAAAUAGUUUCCCCAGACAAAAAAUGCAAGAAUUCCAUUUCAGUGCGGCAGCAAAGCCUUGGGCAGAGACCAUCACACAUUGAUAUCCAUACGCUUUGAUCUGGCAGUGCUGUUUGUUUCUUGGGAAUCAAUCAGGCUAAAUCUUGGGAAGCUGUAAUUCUCAGUUACUGAAACUGGCUGCUGAGGAUAAAGUGUGGGAGGUGGAGUGAGGUUGUGUUGAGCUGGCAAGGGAGGAAGCAUAUUGUACUUGUAAGGAUCACCAGUUAACCUUUUAGUCUUGUAAAACUGAUCGUCAUCACUUGAAUUCUCAUCUAAACGUUGGCCAGGUCUUUGAGAAUUGGACCAUGGACUUGAUGCUGGUGCUGUUAACUCAUCUGAAAAAUAUCUCCUCCUGAUCAACGUGCGAAAAAACUUUAUCAAAGCUUCCUUGUCAUAUCUUGCUUCUUUUGCAGCAGCAAUAAGACCACCAUUGCCAGGAAAACUCUCAGUCAAUGGAAGUUCCUCACUGGAUGGAAGCAAACCCUGCUUCUCAACCCACUGGCGAGCUACAUCAACAAGAUUGCCGCUGCUUCCUCUUGUACCCUCCUUUGCA
rnacentral:misc_RNA from 1 species